UACGGAGGGUGCAAACGUUGCUCGGAAUCAUUGGGCGUAAAGCGCACGUAGGCGGCCUGAUAAGUCGGGUGUGAAAGCCCUGGGCUCAACCCAGGAAGUGCACUCGAAACUGUCAGGCUUGAAUAUGGAAGAGGGUCGCGGAAUUCCCGGUGUAGAGGUGAAAUUCGUAGAUAUCGAGAGGAACACCGGUGGCGAAGGCGGCCAACUGGACGAAUACUGACGCUGAGACACGAAAGCGUGGGGAGCAAACAGG
rnacentral:rRNA from 1 species